rnacentral:lncRNA from 10 species
CUGGCGUCGUGCAGGAACCCUCACCCGCCCGAGCGGGGCCCUGGGCCUCCGGGUCACUCUCUGUGGCGGGGUCUGGCUGCGCGUCAGACGGCCUCCUCCAAUGCCCGCAGUUGCUGUCGCCCCCAGGCCUGGACCGGGGAGUGAGGGGUGGGCCUGACCGGCCCCUGAGCUCCCGUCAGCCCCCCACGCGAGCCCGUCCUGUGCUGGGGGCAGGGAGAUGGGCCGGUGGGAGAGGAGACCGCAUCCAGCCCUCCCUGGCCACCUGCAGGGUCCCCACCGUGGCGGCUGCUUUACUGCUAACUCCUCCCGGGGACCCCAAGUCCCCAUCGCUCUCGGGGGUCCCCCUCAUCCGAACCGCCUCGGAGGAGGGCCGCAUCUCACGCGGAGCACCCCUCCACGCCUGUGACCCUGGACUUGCUCUCCCGCCCCCGCCCGGGCCUCAGGGCUCAGGAGGCCGUGAUGAAGCCAGCAGGUGAACUGCACCCUGGAGCCUCCGACGGGGCGGCCACGGGCAGCGAAGAACCCGGAAAAACAGUACCCUUCUGAGGUUAAUCCGCGUUGAUAGAAGCAGGUGUGGUUCAUCUGGAAUCUGUUGGUGUGAACUGCGCGGCGGCGUCCCCCACCAGGCACCACAGCGGGCGCCUCUUGGUAGCAGCCACCGGCCUCUUCUGGGACUCGCCGGAGGGUUUCCACGUCGCCCGCUCCGACGGGGCUGUUCAUCUCCCCUUGAUCUGUGGGACUCCCCGUCCGUCUCAGGUAUGACCCCUUUGUUGGUGAUCUGGGUUGCAGAUAUCCCCUCUGUGUCUGUGGCUUGUCUCGCUGCGUUGUUUAUGGUGCGCUUUUGUCAUGCAGACGUUUCUAAUUUUGCUCUGUCUGGACUUGGCAAUCUUUCUGUUCGUGAUUUGUGCUUUUGGUGUUUAUGUACAAACUCUUUCCCGGUCCAGAAAGCAUAAAAAAGUUUGCUUUGUGCGCUG